CCUACGGGUGGCAGCAGUGAGGAAUAUUGGUCAAUGGUCGGGAGACUGAACCAGCCAAGCCGCGUGAGGGAGGAAGGUACAGAGUAUCGUAAACCUCUUUUGUCAGGGAACAAAGGCGGGGACGUGUCCCCGGAUGAGUGUACCUGAAGAAAAAGCAUCGGCUAACUCCGUGCCAGCAGCCGCGGUAAUACGGAGUAUGCGGGCGUUAUCCGGAUGUAUGGGGUUAAAAGGGUGGGCAGGCGGUCUGUUAAGUCAGCGCUCAAAGCCCGGGGGCAAACCCCGGCCCGCAGUUGAAACUGGCAGUCUAGAGUUGGAGAGAAGUAUGCGGAAUGCGCGGUGUAGCGGUGAAAUGCAUAGAUAUCGCGCAGAACUCCGAUUGCGAAGGCAGCAUGCCGGCUCCACACUGACGCUGAGGCACGAAAGCGUGGGUAUCGAACAGGAUUAGAUACCCCAGUAGUC
rnacentral:rRNA from 1 species